rnacentral:lncRNA from 1 species
UGGGUUCUACUUUAUUGCUUUUAUCUCUUUUAGAAGGGCUUGCGAUCCUUUUGAGGAACUGACGUUAUUGACUUCUUCUUCUAUCGCCAUCAAUGAACUUAUGUUCUUGUUCCUUUUUUUUCCUGAAGUUAUACGGAUUUGAAGGUAAGUCUACAUAAAAUAAUUUAAUCUUAUAUGAAAUCUAGGUGAUUGGUUAUGGUUUGAAUCUUAUUUAUUAUUUGAGAUUUGGGGGCUGGAAUGAUAGGAAUUUGUUCAUUUUUUUGCUUGAUUCAAUAAUGCACACCACCUGUUUGUUGAAAUGUUUAAGUAAAGAUCUUUCUUCAUGAUUAAAGACGGAUCAAUUAUUAGGUAGCGAUUCCAUUCCAUAAACGAACGCUACCUUAAGGUUUUGUACUUAUGUGAGACGAUAAAGUUCAUAGUAGAAAUUGGGAAUUAGUGAUAAACUAGCUAGAAUGAUGUUUGUUGAAAUGAAAAACCUUAUCUUACUGUUGGUGUAUGUGAUUGGUUGAUCAUUAAGUAUGUUCUAGAUUGGUUUCUUCCUGAAUUUGACUCUUAUUCGAUGCAAGAAAAAUUGAAAUAUGAAGUUAGUGUAUCAUGUCUUAGAUAAUGUAUAUAACUAGUUUUUCAUUCAAGUAUGUAUCAUGGUGUUGGCUUUUUAAUCAACUUCUUUUUCAUGUUUUAGGAUUACAUUUCAUUCACUCAUGGCUGGUCACCACUUGAUAUUGAAAAGGUGGUGUUGGCUAUCAUGUUGGUUGAUAAUAUCUUUUAUUUUUGUGUGUAUAUCAGUAUUAAGACCAGGGGCAGAUCUAGGUUGAGACGUAUGGGUUCACACGAACCCACUCGAUUUCAAAUUUUCCGUAGAAAUGUUAAUAGAAAAUUUGGGAUGAACCCAUAAAAGAUAUUCGGGAUGAACCCAUUUGCGAAAUUGAUGGAGGGCGGAGCGGUUAAAGCAAGUGCUUAUAUGUCUGAAGUUACAGGAACAAAUGACGAAUUACAAACCUCCAGAUGAUGAAGUGUUUUGGUUGAUCCCUCUACAGUUGUAAUGAACAACGAGCAUGAUGGCUAUAUUUGCAUUUGUGGAGAGGUGUUACUAUGAAAAUGAUAAACAAAAUGGAAGGUGGUGAGAAACUAUAGAUCAUUCUGGUCAGCCGAGGCAACCAUUCAAAGCGAGCCUUGAAGUUGAAAAGAUAGUUACUUGAAAGGUAAAGAAGUUUUUGAAGAGUCAAAGGAAAAAGGCUGAGCUAGAAGCCAUGCAAAAAUAUGUUCUCAGCCAAUGUACAAACUUUAAAGCUACGAUGUAUCAUGGAAAACUACCUAUUGAAGUAUUUCAAGAUCUUAGAGAUGAAUAGAAGGUUUUCAUUACUUUAUAUCAUUGUUAUAUUUUAAUUAAAGUGCUAUUUUGAGUUUAGACAUAUGUUAAAUAACGAUAUAAGAUUACCUAUUAUAUU